rnacentral:rRNA from 1 species
AUUGAACGCUGGCGGCAUGCUUUACACAUGCAAGUCGAACGGCAGCGCGGGCUUCGGCCUGGCGGCGAGUGGCGAACGGGUGAGUAAUACAUCGGAACGUGCCCAGUAGUGGGGGAUAGCUCGGCUAAAGCCGGAUUAAUACCGCAUACGACCUGAGGGUGAAAGCGGGGGAUCUUCGGACCUCGCGCUAUUGGAGCGGCCGAUGGCGGAUUAGCUAGUUGGUGGGGUAAAGGCCUACCAAGGCGACGAUCGGUAGCUGGACUGAGAGGACGACCAGCCACACUGGAACUGAGACACGGCCCAGACUCCUACGGGAGGCAGCAGUGGGGAAUUUUGGGCAAAGGGCGAAAGCCUGAUCCAGCAAUGCCGCGUGUGUGAUGAAGGCCUUCGGGUUGUAAAGCACUUUUGGCGGGAACGAAAAGGACUGUGCCAAUACCACGGUUCGAUGACGGUACCCGCAGAAUAAGCACCGGCUAACUACGUG